UUGUGCCAAGAGGGCAGCCAAUGCCAAUGCCGGUUUCUUGAAGGAGUACAGGGUAUACUUUGAGCCGUGGAGUGAGUAACCAUGGGACAGUUCUCCCUGCCCAACCUCACCAUGUCCAUCUCUUUCCCAGCUCCUGAAGCAGGCCAUCAAGGAUGAGACUGGUUCUCUGCUGCCCCCUCCUGACUAUAAUCAGAACAGCAUUGCCUCCUGUCAUCAUUCCCAGGAGCAGUUGGCCCUGGAGGAGAGCCCCGCUGAUGACGUGCUGGAAGCCUCGCUCUUCUCUGUGAGCCGAUGCUGAGCCUGCAGCCCUGUUUGACUAUUUGCGCUUCCCUGCCUGGGGCUGGGUCUGGGU
ensembl:processed_transcript